UCUCUCUCUAUCUCCCUCCAUCCACAUAACCCCAUUCUCCCCUCUCUCUCUCUCUCUCUCUCUCCAUCCACAAAACCCCAUUUGUGCAAUCAAAGCAACAAAUGACGGCAACCACCCUAUUUCUCCUUCCUUCCCAAUUUGAGAGACAAACCCAGAUAAAAGAAAAAAGGGAGGAUGAUGACAUACGCAGCCUCAGCUUCAACUCCCACCCGGCCAUUGUCAAAAGCAAUGGUCUUAAUAGCACUAGCGCUUCUAGUAUCAUUGAUUGCAGCACAACAACAAGGAGGAAGGGCGUCGGUCUGGUUAAAGCCUCGUCACCUACAAGACCCACCUUGUCCAGCAAUUGGGAUUUUCAGUUCGUCGCUACUACUACUACUUCAGCUCCACGCGUCCCCAGAUUCGAAGAGCUCGAUACCACCAACAUGCUCCUCCGUCAGAGAAUCAUCUUCUUGGGUUCUCAGGUGGAUGAUAUGAGGCAGAUUUGAUAAUAAGCCAACUACUAUUUCUGGAUGCUGAAGACCCCAAAAAGGACAUUACAUUGUUUAUCAAUUUGCUUGGUGGCUCGGUUCUCGUCCUUCAAUCCACUCAAGUCCCUCUCCUCCUUCAGUCCAUUACCUAGUGCCCUUCAUCCCCGUCUUAUCUAGGAACUUAUCCACCAAAAACCCAUCUACCAAAUCUUCUCUCACCUUAAAAAUAUUGGCGGUAAUCUCAAUUGACCGGAGAGGGAGGUUGCCGUCAUUUGGCCUUCACCAUUCGUUUUGAUGAUGAAAAUUCAAGUACAAAGCUUAAAGUGUGGGUUUCCCAAGUGGGAAUCUGGAGGGAGGGGGAGGGAGGGAGGGGGAGAGAGAGUGUGUGUGUUUUAGUUGUCGCUGUGUAGGGGUGAUUUGGUAAAAGCAGCAAAAUGGGUGUGUAGAAUGUAAAAGGAGGUGUGCAAAUUUUAGCACCCAUAAAUAAAAAGCAGCUUUAAUUAAAAAUUAUAGGUCACUAGCAACAGAAUUUAAAAGCAGCCCAAAAGUUGAUUUUAGAAGCUGUUGUGGAUCAAAACACACUCUGAAGUUGUUUUAUGUACUGACAACACUUUUAAAAAUAUUAUUUACCAAACACGAAACUGUUUUAAUUCACAGUUAAUUAUUCUCACAACACAGUAGCAACAGUUUUUUUUAAAAGUCACAACAAUUCCAAACUAGCCCUUAGUUUCUUUAUAGUAUAAGAAAUAGAUUAUUUGUUUUUCCAAUGUAUGUUAUGUAGUUCUAUUGACUUUAGGGAUUGUGUUCUUUUAAGAUUGAUCUAUAUUUUCUGCUCUAACCCAAUCCCCUAAAACUUUUGGUCUAGAUUCCAGCAGUUAUGGCUAAUAGAUCACGGUACUAUUGGAGUGAUCAUAGUGAUCACAUAUAUGCUUUAUCAGAGAAGAUCAUAAUAAAGUGGCAGCUUAUGUCGUCGAGAAUGGGAGAGCUUUAGUGUUCGAUUCUUCUUCUUCAAUGAAGCCGGUAACUAUUGCGUCCCUAGUAAGUGGUGGGGUUUAUAUACAUUCUCAACAUGCCUUUACACGUGUGGCGAUUUCUCAAGUCAUACACGUGGACAAGUUAUAUCGGGUGACGGUGAGCACGUGUGGCCAUCCCUGCCUUUACACGUGUGGCGAUUUCUCAAGUCAUACACGUGGACAAGUUAUAUCGGGUGACGGUGAGCAUGUGUAGCCAUCCCUGAAACCAAACAGGUGGGUAACCAGCUCUGAUAUCAUGAUAUGAGGUUCACAUUCAAAACCAAUUGGCAAUGGAUGAAGUGACUCAAACCCUUAUAAACUCAUAAGUAAAGUUAUAUUUUUCCAAUGUGGGAAUUAUAUUUAUACACAUUUGCAACAAUGACUACUGCUUCUCUGAAUCUACUCGAAACUUUUCGGGCCUUUUACGAGAUUGCAUUUACUAUUAUGAUUCAGUAUCACCAUUUAUAGUGGUCGACUUGUCUGCGGGUAGGCCUGACAAUUCAGCCCAUGACCCGUUAACCGCCCAUUAACCGCCAGCUAAAAACUCAUUUAUUUCCGCCCAAUAACUUAACGUGUUAAUGAGCUGCCAACCCGUUAACAACCCGUUAGUUAACGGGCGGAAACGGUUUGCACGACGGAACCCAUGGAGCCCAAUUAGAAAGAAAAAAAAAAAAACACAGUCUAGCACUCUAACAGUCUAACCCUCACUUCUCUCGCUGACACUCUCCUCUUCUCCAUUUUAGCUGCUCGAACCCUCUAGGCCUCUACAGUCUACCCAUCUCUACGCCGCCGGCCGCCGCUGCCAAAGAGUUCGCCGACGGAACCCUCUACAGUCUACCCAUUUCUCUUCUUUCACUUCUCGCAACUCUGCAUUUUCAGCUUGUUCUGUUCUCGCCGACGGGCUCCAUGGUGAGUCAUGAUUGUUCUGUUUCAUUUAUGUUUUCUUAGCUUUCUUUCUAUCGAUCUCUGUAUUGUUUGUUUUCUGGGAUUUGCGAACUAGUGGGUGUUUGUAUUUUCUGGGAUUUGCGAAUUGGUGUUUGUAUUUGGAUCUGGGUUUUUUUAUUUUUCUGAUGUGCAAUAUAUAUGGAUUUGUAUAUAUAUGGAUUUUUCUGAGAAUAUGAAGGGGCAAAGGAGCUAGAUAAUCUGUGGAGAUGGUUUGAUUCUGCACUUCUUUAUGGGCUUCUGUUUCUAGGAAGCUCAUGGAAUUGUUAGAAUUGGAGUUUAGCUGUUGUUUAGCAAAUGUGAUGCAAAGCUAGUUUAUAUAUUAAGGUUUUGGUUUUGAGGUCAGUUGU